AGAGUUUGAUCCUGGCUUCGAAGUACACUGGCGGCAGGCCUAACACAUGCAAGUCGACUGACGCGCAAGGGGAGUGGCGCACGGGUGAGUAACGCGUGGGAAUAUGCCCUUCGGUUCGGAAUAACACAGGGAAACUUGGGCCAAUACCGUAUGAUGUCUAGCGACCAAAGAUUUAUCGCCUUGGGAUAAGCCCGCGUCAGAUUAGGUAGUUGGUGGGGUAACGGCCUACCAAGCCUGCGAUCUGUAGCUGGUCUGAGAGGACGAUCAGCCACACUGGGACUGAGACACGGCCCAGACUCCUACGGGAGGCAGCAGUGGGGAAUCUUGCGCAAUGGGCGAAAGCCUGACGCAGCCAUGCCGCGUGAAUGAUGAAGGUCUUAGGAUUGUAAAGUUCUUUCGCUCGUGACGAUGAUGACGGUAACGAGAGAAGAAGCCCCGGCUAACUUCGUGCCAGCAGCCGCGGUAAUACGAAGGGGGCUAGCGUUGUUCGGAAUUACUGGGCGUAAAGCGCGCGUAGGCGGUUUUGCAAGCCAGAGGUGAAAUGCCUGAGCUCAACUUAGGAAUUGCCUUUGGGACUGCGAGGCUUUGAGGACUGGAGAGGUGAGUGGAAUUCCCAGUGUAGAGGUGAAAUUCGUAGAUAUUGGGAAGAACACCAGUGGCGAAGGCGGCUCACUGGCCAGUUUCUGACGCUGCAGCGCGAAAGCGUGGGGAUCAAACAGGAUUAGAUACCCUGGUAGUCCACGCCGUAAACGAUGAGUGCUGGGUGUCGUGGGUUUUGACCUCCGCGGUGCCGUAACUAACGCGUUAAGCACUCCGCCUGGGGAGUACGGCCGCAAGGCUAAACUCAAAGAAUUGACGG
rnacentral:rRNA from 1 species